GGUUUUUUUUUUUUUUUUUUUUUUUCAUAUCAAUAAGCGGAGGAAAAGAAACCAACAGGGAUUCCCCUAGUAACGGCGAGUGAAGCGGGAACAGCUCAAAUUUGAAAUCUGGCCCUUGGGUCCGAGUUGUAAUUUGCAGAGGAUGCUUUUGGUGCGGUGCCUUCCGAGUUCCCUGGAACGGGACGCCUUAGAGGGUGAGAGCCCCGUACGGUUGGCCACCAAGCCUGUGUAAAGCUCCUUCGACGAGUCGAGUAGUUUGGGAAUGCUGCUCAAAAUGGGAGGUAUAUUUCUUCUAAAGCUAAAUACUGGCCAGAGACCGAUAGCGCACAAGUAGAGUGAUCGAAAGAUGAAAAGCACUUUGAAAAGAGGGUUAAAUAGCACGUGAAAUUGUUGAAAGGGAAGGAUUUAUGACCAGACUUUUUCUGGGGGGAUCAUCCGGUGUUCUCACCGGUGCACUUCCCCCAGUUGAGGCCAGCAUCGGUUUCUGCCGGGGGAUAAAAGCUUUGGGAAUGUGGCUCCUUCGGGAGUGUUAUAGCCCGUUGCAUAAUACCCUGGCGGGGACCGAGGUUCGCGCAUGCAAGGAUG
rnacentral:rRNA from 1 species